GAUGAACGCUGGCGGCGUGCUUAACACAUGCAAGUCGAACGAGGCACUUUAUUUGAUUUCCUUCGGGACUGAUUAUUUUGUGACUGAGUGGCGGACGGGUGAGUAACGCGUGGGUAACCUGCCUUGUACAGGGGGAUAACAGUUGGAAACGGCUGCUAAUACCGCAUAAGCGCACAGCAUCGCAUGAUGCAGUGUGAAAAUCUCCGGUGGUAUAAGAUGGACCCGCGUUGGAUUAGCUAGUUGGUGAGGUAACGGCCCACCAAGGCGACGAUCCAUAGCCGACCUGAGAGGGUGACCGGCCACAUUGGGACUGAGACACGGCCCAAACUCCUACGGGAGGCAGCAGUGGGGAAUAUUGCACAAUGGGCGAAAGCCUGAUGCAGCGACGCCGCGUGAGCGAAGAAGUAUUUCGGUAUGUAAAGCUCUAUCAGCAGGGAAGAUAAUGACGGUACCUGACUAAGAAGCACCGGCUAAAUACGUG
rnacentral:rRNA from 1 species